rnacentral:rRNA from 1 species
AUGAACGUUGGCGGCGUGUUUAAGGCAUGCAAGUCGUGCGACGUGUUCCCGCAAGGGAAUUACGAGCGGCAAACGGGUGAGUAACACAUUGGUAACCUACCUUUGAGACGAGGAUAGCCCACCGAAAGGUGGAUUAAUACUCGAUGGAAAUGCGAGGGCAUAAGUCAUUCGCAUUUAAAGGCGCAAGCCACUCAAAGAGGGGCCUAUGUCCUAUCAGCUAGUUGGUAAGGUAAUGGCUUACCAAGGCUAUGACGGGUAGCAGGCGUGAGAGCGUGACCUGCCUCACUGGGACUGAGACACUGCCCAGACUCCUACGGGAGGCUGCAGUCGAGAAUAUUCCUCAAUGGACGAAAGUCUGAAGGAGCGACGCCGCGUGCAGGAUGAAGCCCCUCGGGGUGUAAACUGCUUUUGUGGGGGACGAAUUUGUGACGGUACCCCAAGAAUAAGAGGUUGCUAACUCUGU